CCCAGCAUCCAUUCCACCCUAAGCCACUCUGCAGAGCGACAACUGCUUCAUCUCGGAUAGCAUAAAGCAGAUCACAGAUGAGGUCAUCUUUGCAACUAUAAAUAGCCUUGUGUGUAUUCACGUUUUGCCCUUUACCACGAAAAUGAUGGCAUACCACGCAUCUCACCCUGCCUCUUAACAACCGAUCAAGAACACGCUCCCAGCUCUGGGGUGGUAGGGUGUCAUAGAGGGAGCCCAGCAGGAUGGAGCCAAUAGAUCUGCUGUGGGGAUGCUGGCAGCAUGGUGUUACCUGGACUUCCGGCAUAGCUGCUCCAGGAAAGGGGCAGCCUCACGCAGCCAUGUUACAGAACGGCCUCUACCUGACACGUGCUAUAUCAUGAAGCCUCCAGGGCUCUUUCUGUCAGCAGAUGUCUGGGACCCUGCAUGUCAGCCCUCUGCCAUGGCACGGAGUACCAGGUGGGUUUUCCAUUUGCGGCUCGCCGUAACCAGGUGGGCACCUCUAAGCGUGAGGCCUCACUCCUCACUGAUGAGACAGGAGCCUUGCGUGUCUUCCGCCGUGAGAAUGGCCUCCACAUGUAGUGUUACAGAAGAGUGUCCUGAGUGUGGCAGCAGUGACUUGAGCCACUGAUGAGGUCUCCCUGUGGAACUGGGAUGUGUGUCCAUCUUGAUGGUCCCAGUGGAGUCUGCAGACACACUUGAGUUCUCCUUCCAAUCCCAUUCCCCGGAUAACAGAGAAUCCUGGAGGUGAACUUCCUGUGCCUUCACUUCCAGCCAUCCGUGAUUUGUUUGUUAGUUUGUUUGUUUUGUUUUUGUUUUUGUAGGAAUACCAGCAGUGGGGAAUAGCUCGAAGAGGGUGUCCCUGCAAUAGUGGCCUCCCUGAUUUCCCACCGGGGGAGGUGGAGGAGAAGGUGACUUAUUCACACUGACCAGCCACACCUGUGCUAGAGAGCUGCCUGGGAUUGUGAGUUCCCCCAUUCCUCAAAUCUUUUUGAGCUCCACCCUAUCACUCCAGGUGCCUGAGCUCCAUAGUGAACCCGGCUGUGGCUGGACCCUGGAACAGAGAGCCCCUGAGCACUCACCGAGAGCCAAUGCAUUUAUUCCCUAAGCUUGCUGUUGCCUGUGGUGGCUUGAUUUUCAGCAGAAAUGACCCAGGAAUCCUUGGAUAGAGCCCUCCUUGAACUUGAGGGGCUCUGGUGAUUCUACUGAUCGUCCAGGAAAACCUUGGGCAAUAUGGAGUGUUUGAACUUGGGGCACAUGCCCAACUCCUUGCAGAUUGCUUUGGCCGGUGACACACAGCCUUGGGAGCACGUGUGGGGCAGGACUCAUUUCAGGCCUGGAGACCAUUGAACCCUCCAGUCCCGCACCUUGCAGGUAGAAUAUCUUAUUUGGGGGUGAGCAUCUGCCACCACCACCACCCCUCCUUGAAGUGGCUAUGCGAUGGGGUGGGGGGAACACGACACACAAGUGCAGAGUCCACACCCUAAGGACCAUUCACCUCAUGCUGGGGGAUGCUGCGUCUUUGGCCACCAUGUGACCCCAGGCAUGUGAAUUUUCUAAAACUGUUCUCUUCCCUCGCAUUCCCACUAGUUUUAGGACCAACAUCCACGUACGUUUGACGCUAAUGGAAACUCUGCCUUGUGAC